AUCCCAAUAUCGACAUUAUCAGACUGCCAUCUAAAUGUGGCAUACAAUUGAAAUGAAGGAGCACCCAAAACCAUAUGAAAAGAAGCAUGGUAAAAUCAAAGACUGAAACUAGUGGCUUAAAAAUAAAAGGAAAAUGAAAUUGAAACUAGUUUGCUCCUAUAAUUGAAGCAAAAAGAAGGCAAAGACUAUCCAUUUAGGCAGAACUUAAAAGUACACAGGAAAAAGCUAAGCUAAUACAUUAAAAGGUUCACACUCUCCUCUCCAUUCCUGGUAAGCACUAAAGUAGUAGUUAGGCCUUCUCUUUGACUUUUAUUGCUUUCAUUCAUUCGCUUAUCAUGUUGUUGAACUUUGGCCAUUCUGGUAUCUACAAUUUUAGAGAGCUUCUCACACGGUGUAGUGCUGCUGGAUAGUAUCAAUGUCCAAACCUUUCAGCUUCACCACAGAUUCAACAUGUCCCUUGAGUGUGUGAAGCUCACGAAGCCUGUAAAAAGCAUAGAUGAAACGGAAUUAAUCUUUGUAUAGAUAGUAAUGAUGAUGAUUAUACAUAUAUUUGUAAUCUCAGAAGUGAAUGGCAGGCAUGGCUGCUUACCUUGCAACUUCAGCUCUUCUCUUCGCUUGCUCAGCAAUCUCGGACAGUUCUCUGUAACUGCUCUUCUCAUUGAAAAUACCAGAACUUUCUGGUGGUUGAAGUCCAUGUAGAGUCCUCUGAGCAUGUGCCCAUUGAGCUUCCCUCUCCUCUUUUCCAUAGUCUUUCUUGGUG
rnacentral:lncRNA from 1 species